UACGUAGGUGGCAAGCGUUGUCCGGAUUUACUGGGCGUAAAGGGCGUGCAGGCGGUUUGUUAAGUCUAGGGUGAAAGCUCCCGGCUCAACUGGGAGAGGUCCUUGGAUACUGGCAGACUUGAGGAGGGAAGAGGCGAGUGGAAUUCCUGGUGUAGCGGUGGAAUGCGCAGAUAUCAGGAGGAACACCAAUAGCGAAGGCAGCUCGCUGGGACGGUAUUGACGCUAAGGCGCGAAAGCGUGGGGAGCAAACAGG
rnacentral:rRNA from 1 species